GCUUGUAAUGGUCGGCCAUC
rnacentral:misc_RNA from 1 species